UUUAACGGCUGCGGUAUUUUGACCGUGCAAAGGUAGCGCAAUCACUUGUCUUUUAAAUAAAGACCUGUAUGAAUGGCAUGACGAGGGCUAAGCUGUCUCCUCUCCCCAGUCAAUGAAAUUGAUCUCCCCGUGAAGAAGCGGGGAUACAACUAUAAGACGAGAAGACCCUGUGGAGCUUCAAACACUAGAGGAGGUCAUGUCAAGCCCCCCCCCCCGAGGGGUGAAACAAAAUGAACACUCCCCUAAUGUUUUUGGUUGGGGGACCGCGGGGAAUUGAAAAACCCCCACGUGGAACGGGAACACCCCUCCUACAACUAAGAGUCACCACUCUAAGUAACGGAACAUCCGACCAGCAAUGAUCCGGCCUAGCCGAUCCAACGGACCGAGUUACUCCAGGGAUAACAGCGCAAUCCCCUUUCAGAGACCUUAUCGCCAAGGGGGUUUACGACCUCGAUGUUGGAUCAGGACAUCCUAAUGGUG
rnacentral:rRNA from 1 species